CCGUGAGAGCGGGAGCCCGGAGAUGGGCACUGAGACAAGGGCCCAGGCCCUACGGGGCGCAGCAGUUGCGAAAACUCCGCAAUGCACGAAAGUGUGACGGGGCUACCCCGAGUGCCGUCCGCUGAGGGCGGCUUUUCCCCGGUGUAAGGAGCCGGGGGAAUAAGGAGAGGGCAAGUCUGGUGUCAGCCGCCGCGGUAAUACCAGCUCUCCGAGUGGUAGGGAUGAUUAUUGGGCUUAAAGCGUCCGUAGCUGGCCUAGCAAGUCUUCCGUUAAAUCCACCGAUUCAAUCGUUGGACUGCGGGAGAUACUGUUGGGCUAGGGGGCGGGAGAGGCCGACGGUAUUCUCGGGGUAGGGGUAAAAUCCUAUAAUCCCGGGAGGACCACCAGUGGCGAAGGCGGUCGGCUAGAACGCGCCCGACGGUGAAGGGCGAA
rnacentral:rRNA from 1 species